ACGUCAGCCGAUCAAGCCAAAUUAAUCUGUGACGUUCCUUUCAUUUUCGUCUAUGACGUUCCUUUCAUUUUCGUCUUUAAUAUUCAAGUCUAAUCUUCGUCCCUUGUAAUUGUUGACGAAGCUAUCAAUUUGGUCAUAGAAAUGUAUCAAUCUGUGACUGAAGUCACCAGCGUCACUAGAAAAUCGUCACUGAUGAUCACAUUCUUACUAGUGUUCCCUCCUUUUUUUAAUAUGAUCUCGCAAUGACAUACUCAUUGUAGAACUAAAGAAUAUAUAUUUUUUGUCAGUUAGAAGUUAAAAUAAUAAAAUAGACUUAAAGCAAAUCAUGUAUCAUUUCAAAAGUACAAGUAAUAAGGACUAAAGUAAACCAUAUAUACGUACAAAGAAUUUAAUACCUUUUGGAGUUGGUACCGGAUCCCAAGAGGGAGGAGGUUCACCUUCCCCAACUAUAAUUGGUGUUGUAGGGAUCUACAUGUAACAACUCAAAUAAGUAGCUGGAAAACACAUGAAUCUAGGCACACAAAUGAAUCCGAACAAAUAAAUCUACACAGGACAAAUGAAUCUAGGUUUGUACUUAGAGAAUGAUUUAAACAACGCAGAUUUGGAAAGCUAAUCUGGACAUUUUUGAAAAACAAAACAAAACAAAACAAUUAGAGAAUGAUUUAACAUUUAAUCAGUAUAGCACAAACAAGAAGCACAAGUAGCACAAACAAUUAGAGAAUGAAUUUAGGCAAUACGCCGCUGGCUGUGACCAGUGGCGGAGCCAGACAAAAACCAAAGCCUGGGCACCGUGGAGAGGGAAGGGACGGCGACGUGUUGAGGUUAGGAUGAGACCACCACUGGCAGCCGCGCUUUCUUCUUCCUUGAUAGACUGCAAUAGAAACUACACCACUUCACGUCCUCGCUCUGCUUCCCGUGGAUCAGCCUGGCGGGGUUCCCCACAGCGGUGCUCUUGUGCGGCAGGUCGAAGAGCACCGCAAAGGAGCAGAGCUUGCUGGCGGGUGUAAGUGUAAGGCGAGGGAGCGGUCCAGGGACGGGAGCGACAACACCGUGGCAUAGAGGAAGGAGGCUAGCACCGGCUCGCGUCCGCGUCGCGGCCUUGAUCUGGGACCACCCACGGCAGGUACGAGUACGACGACACAAUGUCCGCUUGAAGCCACCGCCGGAGCCGAGCCCGGGCACGUGCCCAGGCAUGCCGGGCUCUGGCUCCGCCCAUGGCUGUGACGGUUGGGCCGGCGCUCCAUUACCCCAAUCCGCCCAACCCUGACAAGGUGUUCUACAUCAACAAGAAGGAGGCGCCUCUGCUCAAGACGAACCCUCUCAUCCUAGUGCUGCAUAUACCUAUCUAUGCAAUUGGCUGUAGCACGAGUAGCUGCUCGUGCCUUGUCUCUGGUUCGUUACUCCGUCCAGAUCUCACACACAGAGCACUAGUAUCGCACCAGUGGAUGAAGGAGCUAUUGCAACCAUAGAAGAUACAGGGUACUUUACGGAGGGUAGCUCGUACUGGUGAGAAGGUGGUGGGGAGACUUGCCGUCGGAGUUGUGCGGCGCCGCCGUCUCUUCACCUCCUGCGGCGCCAGUGCUGCGUCGUGCCCUACAGCCAGGAUCCGAUCCGGAGGUGAUUGUGCCAGUGUUUGUUCCAGGCCGUGGAAGGAGGAGAAAAUCUGAACUGGGUCAGGUUUACAUCCAGUCCAGGCCCAAACGAACGGUUCCAGCGGCUCCAACCAAAUUUCAAUCCGGCCCAAUCUAUUUCGCCCGGAAAAGACCAGGAACAACCCAAUCCCACCGAUACGAACAAGGCCUAAAUUUGGGUGGACAAGGGAAGGGGAAAG
rnacentral:lncRNA from 1 species